ensembl:lncRNA
CUGCCAGCUCUGCUGGGAAAGACUGAGGGCUCUGGCUGUGAACGGGACACCUCUCCCCAUUCACUUGAUUGAGGUAGAUGAGCUCUCUAACUUUGCAAGCAAAUGCACUCCUCCUCAGCUCUGAAACUCUCACACACAAUUGCUUGGUUUCCCUGAUAAGAACAGCCAAGCAGAAGAACAAAGAUAGUUAUCAGCAGCGCAGCCCAAGGCCGUAUUCUUACAGCAGCAGCCACAGUGCUGUUGCAAGUUUUCAGUCUGUUCUGCACAAGAAGGCUAGGCACUCCUACCGCACGCUGUCAUGCGACAGGCUGCUUGGUGGGGCUUCCCCUCCUGCAAGAUGGUAAGAACAGCUCUUACGACAGCGGGAGAAGAGCAAGAACAGCAAGGCUGAAAUGCCAACAGGCUGAUGAACAUUUUUUCCCCGUGUUACGCAGACUGCUUUGUCUUCUGUGCUCCCCUGCACAGGCAGGGAGUGGGAUAUGCUCCUACCAGAUCACAUGAGAGACUUGAGAACAAGUUUUGCAUCUUGCAUCUUCCAGCAGGAGGAUCUGUUACGUUGCUAAAUGCAGAGCAGUCAGCUGGAAAGCGAACUGAUGGACUUAAAGCAGCUGUAGCAAUCGUAUCCUGAUCCUGUAACGUUCUCCUGUAUGAAUCAUUCAAGCAACACUGACGUGUGAGCGUGUGUAAAAUCGUGUCACAUCACUUUGAGGGGAGACUGGCGAGGUGCAGGUCUGACUUCAGAUACUUCAGCCUUUCUGUCCAGCCAGUGCUGUUGCAUUUGUCUCAGCCUGACAGGCAGCAGCAGAAGUCGGGGCUCUGAUGCAUUUCUGCAUUAAGGCACCCCUUGUUUGUCGUCACAUGAGAUGCUGAUGUUGUAGCUUACUUCUGCAAGUGUGGGCUUCUCGCUGAUAUGUAGGUUUCUCUUGGAUUAGCUAUGAUGAUGAAAUAAUGCCAAAGUCAUAUUAAACUGAAAUAGUAGCAAUUUGUAACUGAUAUAUAUGUAUAUGUA